GUAAAUAUAGUUUAACUAAAACAUUAGAUUGUGAAUCUAACAACAAGAGCUUAAAUCUCUUUAUUUACC
rnacentral:tRNA from 1 species